ACUGCUCAGUAACACGUGGACAACCUACCCUCAGCACGGGGAUAAACCCGGGAAACUGGGUAUAAUACCCGAUAGUUCUGGGAUGCUGGAAUGCUUCCAGGACGAAAGCUCCGGCGACUGAGGAUGGGUCUGCGGCCUAUCAGGUAGUAGUGGGUGUAAUGUACCUACUAGCCUACGACGGGUACGGGUCGUGAGAGCGAGAGCCCGGAGAUGGAUUCUGAGACACGAAUCCAGGCCCUACGGGGUGCAGCAGGCGCGAAAACUUUACAAUGCUGGCAACAGCGAUAAGGGGACCUCGAGUGCCAGGAUACAAUCUUGGCUGUCGUGAUGCCUAAAAAGCAUUGCAUAGCAAGGGCCGGGCAAGACCGGUGCCAGCCGCCGCGGUAACACCGGCGGCUCGAGUGGUAACCGCUAUUAUUGGGUCUAAAGGGUCUGUAGCCGGCCGGAUAAGUCUUUUGGGAAAUCCAGCUGCUCAACAGUUGGGCUUUCAGAAGAUACUGUUCGGCUCGAGGCCGGGAGAGGUGAGAGGUACUUCAGGGGUAGGGGUGAAAUCUUGUAAUCCUUGAAGGACCACCAGUGGCGAAGGCGUCUCACCAGAACGGUCCUGACGGCAAGGGACGAAAGCUAGGGGCACGAACCGGAUUAGAUACCCGGGUAGUCCUAGCCGUAAACGAUACUCGCUAGGUGUCAGCCACGGUGCGACCGUGGUUGGUGCCGUAGGGAAGCCGUGAAGCGAGCCACCUGGGAAGUACGGCCGCAAGGCUGAAACUUAAAGGAAUUGGCGGGGGAGCAC
rnacentral:rRNA from 1 species